rnacentral:rRNA from 1 species
AUUGAACGCUGGCGGCAGGCCUAACACAUGCAAGUCGAGCGGAUGAAGGGAGCUUGCUCCUGGAUUCAGCGGCGGACGGGUGAGUAAUGCCUAGGAAUCUGCCUGGUAGUGGGGGAUAACGUCCGGAAACGGGCGCUAAUACCGCAUACGUCCUGAGGGAGAAAGUGGGGGAUCUUCGGACCUCACGCUAUCAGACGAGCCUAGGUCGGAUUAGCUAGUUGGUGGGGUAAAGGCCUACCAAGGCGACGAUCCGUAACUGGUCUGAGAGGAUGAUCAGUCACACUGGAACUGAGACACGGUCCAGACUCCUACGGGAGGCAGCAGUGGGGAAUAUUGGACAAUGGGCGAAAGCCUGAUCCAGCCAUGCCGCGUGUGUGAAGAAGGUCUUCGGAUUGUAAAGCACUUUAAGUUGGGAGGAAGGGCAGUAAGUUAAUACCUUGCUGUUUUGACGUUACCAACAGAAUAAGCACCGGCUAACUUCGU